GCGCUGGUAGUAUAGCGGUAGUAUCAUUGGUUUCCAACCAAUUGGUCUGGGUUCAACUCCCAGCCAGCGCA
rnacentral:tRNA from 1 species